GGCGUACAGCUGUGACGUCUGUGGAAAAACUUUCAGCCGGAUAGGGAGCCGAAAUACACACCUACGCAUUCACACCGGACAUGAUGUGUACAGCUGUGAUCAGUGUGGUAAACAGUUUACUACAAACACAGAGUUACGACGUCACAUGUUUACCCACACUGAGGAACGACCUUAUAAAUGUGACCUGUGUGAGAAGACUUUUAAAUCUCCACGUUACCUGAGACGACACCAACAGAUCCACACCAGAAAGACUCUACAAGUGCAGUUACUGUGAGAAGCAGAGCGACACAGAUGGAUCAAGUUCUCAACCCUGUCAUCGCUGUGGGAAAGACUUUUGUUGUGACCUUUGUGGAAAAACUUUAAGUCAUUGAAGGACUCUGAAAAUACAUCAACGUAGACACACUGGAGACAAAAUGAACUACUGUAAAGAAUGCGGGAGAGGCUUCACCACUUCAAAGGACUUCAAACAAUAUGAACUCCUUCACAGUGGCGUUAAAAAGCAUGUCUGCGAUCAGUGUGGGUCAUCCUUCAUCAGUGCACGUCAGCUUGAAAAGCAUAAACGAGUCCACACAUGAGAGAAA